UACAGAGGGUGCAAGCGUUAAUCGGAAUUACUGGGCGUAAAGCGUGCGUAGACGGUUACAUAAGUCGGGUGUGAAAGCCCCGGGCUCAACCUGGGAAUUGCAUUCGAGACUGCGUAGCUAGGGUGCGGAAGAGGGAAGUGGAAUUUCCGGUGUAGCGGUGAAAUGCGUAGAUAUCGGAAGGAACACCAGUGGCGAAAGCGGCUUCCUGGUCCAGCACCGACGUUCAGGCACGAAAGCGUGGGGAGCAAACAGG
rnacentral:rRNA from 1 species